AAGCUAAACAUUGUCAGUCAGCACUAAUCUUUGUAACGUCAGCUCUUCAUGAACUUUCUUUAAACUUUGUGUCUAUGAACAAACUGAAGACGUGUUAAAUUUCUAGCGAGGAGUAAAUGUGGGGCUUUGCUCUGGAAUUUGACUGAGAUCUAAUAAUGAGGGAAUCUGCUGCUCUACAGAGAGGCCGAUCACCAAAGUCUGGACAACACAGCUUUUAAAGAAACCAACUGCUGACUUUUCACAUACUUUUCAGUUUAACGUAUUCAGAGAUGGACUGAAAACACUUGGUGUGCUGGACUAAAUCCAAGCUCAGCUCUUCUGUGCUGGUCUCCUGCAGCCUCUCAGCUGAUGUGGCCGACAGUCUUUUCAUUAUCCGCCAUCUCCAGCUGGCAGCAACAGAAGCUGCUGAGGAAGUUCUUCCUUUCUGGAGACACACGCAGAAAUGAGGAAGGAGCAGAAACUGGGAACGAUCCUCGCCUUUUCCACAGGAGUCAACACUCCUUCACCGACUGGGUUCUCUCCUCCACAAAGAGGAGGAUUCAGGAAGCUGCAAAGCUGCCGCUGCAAACAGCUGCACUAACUGCUUGAAGCUACGCUGCAGACCUCAUACGGAGACCUUCAGGAAAACAGGGGCUCUGCGGUGGGCGGGACC